rnacentral:lncRNA from 1 species
UCACCUGUCGCAGGUUGCGUUUGGCAAUGAAUUGGAGUUUGAACUACGUGACUAACCGGGACAUGGGAUGAACCAGCAGAACAAUAAGUAGCAUAUAAAAUACUUCCUACAAGACGAGGAAAUGGUCUUUCUGGACAUAUAAAUUUUCACAUUUAAGGACUAGAAAGGAAAUAUGAAUAAAAAGAGGAAUUGUGUUCAGAAAAAAAAAAUAACGAGGAGAAAUGAGAAUGGUAUAAUUUGGAUAGUUGACUGACCAAUAAAAAACUACUCAGCAUGGAAUUAUCAGAUAGAAGAUGCAUUUGAAUAUGAUUAACUAGGGACUAACCCGGGCUACGCCCGGGAUUUUUAUUUUUUUUUCUAAUUUAAGUUGUUAAAUUAUUUAUAUUUAGGUUAUGAUAUAUAUUUAUAUAAAUGUUAAGAUGCAUGUCAUAAUUAAAAUUUAUUUUCAAAUUUUAAUACGUUAAAUUAACAUAUUUUUUACUAUUUAAAUAUCUUUUUUUUGUAAUUUUGUUGGCUAUCUAGUUAUCAUAUUUAGCAAAACUAUCUGUUGAGUGUUGGAAUAAAUGUUUUAGAUAUUUAAUUAAACUGCAGAGUAUUUUCGGAUCGACCACAUGCUCAACAAUCGAUCGAUCCGUAAAAAGAUGGUCGAUCUCCUUGGCCAGGUAAGUACAAUUUUAGCAAAAAUAUCUUUGAUUUUCAAAUAUUAAGUAUAUAACUAUUUUUUGAAUAUUUUUUUUUUGAAUUGUAUUUUUUGAUUAAAUUAUUGUAUUAUAUAAUGUUUAUGUAAAUAUUUUUUGAUGUUUGAAUUUGUGUUGUUCGUAUACUUAACCAUAAUAUUACAAUUAUUUAAUUUAAGUUAUUAUAAGUAUAAUAUAUGCUAAACCAACUUAAAUUAUAUUUACAAUAUGACCAUCCUAAACCGGUUAAUAAACCAAAAAUAAUACUAAACCAACAUGAACCAAUACCUGAUUCGGCGAGGAAGGAAGUGUUUCGGGAUAAACGCUUGAAUGGUUAUUAACUGUAAUGGUUUGAUCAUGAAAGAGUUAGUAUGAAUAUUAACAAUAAAAUUAUGGAUUAGAUUAAUUUAAAUUUGUAAGAAUAUCUUUGAGUCUAUGAAAAGCAAUUCAAUUCCCAUGAAUAAGUUUGGUUUUUGGAAAUUCCGGAUUUCCCAACAAUGAAAAAACAAUACUAAACAAACAUGAACCAAUACCUGAUUCGGCGAGGAAGGAAGUGUUUCGGGAUAAACGCUUGAAUGGUUAUUAACUGUAAUGGUUUGAUCAUGAAAGAGUUAGUAUGAAUAUUAACAAUAAAAUAAUGGAUUAGAAUAAUUUAAAUUUGUAAAAAUAUCUUUGAGUCUAUGAAAAGCAAUUCAAUUCCCAUGAAUAAGUUUGGCUUUUGGAAGUUGCAGGUUUCCCAACAAUGAAUCUACCUAACAAAAGUUCGUUGUUAUAAAAAAUCUCCUUCAAGGUCAUUAAAGGUUUUUGGGACGGCAAGAGUUGAUGGUUGAACCAUUUUUUUGCUCGAGUGCUUUGAAGUUUUCGUUGAUAGUGUGAGGUUGAUGUUGAUGGAAUAAUGAGUUUUAUAGAGACUUUCUUGAUGUAAA